AUGGUGGUUGAUGCCCUGGCAUCCAUCCUUGAUAAGGCCAAGGAUGCUGGCCAUAUUCGCAGCAUCGUCCCCCACCUAGUCGGAGGGGGAGGGGUCUCCCUCCUUCAAUACGCGGAUGAUACCAUAAUUAUGGUGGAGGGCUCCGUCCAAGACAUUGUGAACCUGAAGUUCCUCCUCCUAUGCUUCCAACAGAUGUCGGGCCUAACCAUCAACUUCGAUAAGAGCGAAGUGAUGGUUCUCGGGUUCCCCCCGGAGGAAGCACAGGCUAUCGCGGACCGGCUAAAUUGUCGGUUGGGUUCUUUCCCCACGACCUACCUGGGGAUCCCCAUUAGUGACUCGCGCCUCACUGUGGUGGAUCUCCGCCCCACGGUGACCCGUAUGCAACACCGCGUUGAGCCCUGGAAAGGGCGCUGGUUGUUGAAGGCUGCUCGCGUGAUCCUUAUCAACUCUUCGCUUGCCAGCCUUCUUUGGUUCCUCAUGAGCUUCUAUAGCCUCCAUGAGACCCUUCAUCAGGAGAUCGCCAAGUACCAAUCCAGAUUCUUCUGGGCUGGGGAGGGGGAUAAGCAGAAGUACCAUAUGGUAAGCUGGCCCGAUAUCUGCAAACCCAAGGACUAG
rnacentral:rRNA from 1 species